UGGUGGUGUGAAUUGUCUAGUUAAUUCUGUUAACGAACGAGACCUCGACCUGCUAAAUAGUCUGGCGAAUUCUCGUAAUUCGACCAAACUUCUUAGAGGGACUAUCGGUUGGUGUACCCGGUGGAAGUUCGAGGCAAUAACA
rnacentral:rRNA from 1 species